CCUACGGAAGGUUUUCUAGAGAUGAGAAUGUGCCUUCGGGAACCGUGAGACAGGUGCUGCAUGGCUGUCGUCAGCUCGUGUUGUGAAAUGUUGGGUUAAGUCCCGCAACGAGCGCAACCCUUAUCCUUUGUUGCCAGCGGUCCGGCCGGGAACUCAAAGGAGACUGCCAGUGAUAAACUGGAGGAAGGUGGGAUGACGUCAAAUCAUCAUGGCCCUUACGACCAGGGCUACACACGUGCUACAAUGGCGCAUACAAAGAGAAGCGACCUCGCGAGAGCAAGCGGACCUCAUAAAGUGCGUCGUAGUCCGGAUUGGAGUCUGCAACUCGACUCCAUGAAGUCGGAAUCGCUAGUAAUCGUGGAUCAGAAUGCCACGGUGAAUACGUUCCCGGGCCUU
rnacentral:rRNA from 1 species